CCUACGGGUGGCAGCAGUGGGGAAUAUUGCACAAUGGGGGAAACCCUGAUGCAGCGACGCCGCGUGAGUGAAGAAGUCAUUCGUUAUGGAAAGCUCUAUCAGCAGGGAAGAAAAUGACGGUACCUGAGUAAGAAGCCGCGGCUAACUACGUGCCAGCAGCCGCGGUAAUACGGAGGGUGCAAGCGUUAUCCGGAUUUACUGGGUGUAAAGGGAGCGUAGACGGCAGUGCAAGUCUGGAGUGAAAGGCGGGGGCCCAACCCCCGGACUGCUCUGGAAACUGUAAGGCUGGAGUGCAGGAGAGGUAAGUGGAAUGCCUAGUGUAGCGGUGAAAUGCGUAGAUAUUAGGAGGAACACCAGUGGCGAAGGCGGCUUACUGGACUGUAACUGACGUUGAGGCUCGAAAGCGUGGGGAGCAAACAGGAUUAGAUACCCGAGUAGUC
rnacentral:rRNA from 1 species